AAUCAACGCUGGCGGCGUGCCUAACACAUGCAAGUCGCACGAGAAAGGGACUUCGGUCCUGAGUACAGUGGCGCACGGGUGAGUAACACGUGAAUAAUCCACCUUCGAGUGGGGAAUAACUGAGAGAAAUCUUAGCUAAUACCGCAUAAUACCUACGGGUCAAAGCAGCAAUGCGCUUGAAGAGGAGUUCGCGGCAGAUUAGUUAGUUGGCAGGGUAAUGGCCACCAAGACGAUGAUCUGUAUCCGGCCUGAGAGGGCGCACGGACACACUGGAACUGAAACACGGUCCAGACUCCUACGGGAGGCAGCAGUGGGGAAUUUUGCGCAAUGGGGGAAACCCUGACGCAGCAACGCCGCGUGGAGGAUGAAAUCCCUUGGGAUGUAAACUCCUUUCGAUCGGGAAGAUAAUGACGGUACCGAGAGAAGAAGCCCCGGCUAACUUCGUGCCAGCCGCCGCAGUAAU
rnacentral:rRNA from 1 species